rnacentral:lncRNA from 1 species
UUAUGCAGAGCUAAUAGGUCAGCUAUAUGGUAGGUCAUUGAGACAUAAACCAAAGAUCACAGUAAAACCACAUUGAAAAUUCUUGAACACUAGACAGAACCAUCAAUACAAUUAGAGUUACCUGAGGGACUAGAUGACGUAACAUGAGCAAAAUAGAAUGGGCAAGAACUUAAAUGGACAGGCAAGGAAAGUAUCAACAAGUAGACAUAGUGUAGGCAUUCUGAACAAACAAGAUUUAACUAUGCAAUGUAAACAAUAGACAGGCCAGCAUAAUUUAGACAUGUUAAUCACAUAUGGAACCAGGUAGUAUUAUGGAUGUUAGAUAAAUAGUAGACAAGUAGGUAAGUUGAGAUAUACUAAUCAAAUAUUGAAUAAGGUGUAUUAGGCAUGCUAGAUAACAGUAAACAUGAGCAAGAAUGAACUCAAUACUGAUGGAUUAAGGCAGUAAAGUAGCACAUAGAGUUUAC